rnacentral:lncRNA from 1 species
CCCCUAAGCAGUUUCCUGUGCUCUGGUGAUGGGCAGAACGGCACAGACAAUGAGGGAACAUGACUGGAAUACGGAGGCAGCCGUCCUUGCUGCUCGGCGUCCGUAUGGAGAGAGGUGCUCGGCGAUCUUCCCAACAACGAAAGAACACUGUGUGCUCCCGUUCUGUUUCAGAGCUUGAGCUGUGGCCCCGUAAGAACACCAGAACACUGCAUGAGGACAGUCUUUCGACCCUGUGCUACACCUUCUGCAUCUGA